CCGAUAGUGAACUAGUACCGUGAGGGAAAGGUGAAAAGUACCCCUUUGAGGGGAGUGAAAUAGUACCUGAAACCGUGUGCCUACAAGGAGUGGGAGCCUCUUCGGAGGUGACCGCGUGCCUUUUGCUUAAUGAGUCUACGAGUUAGUGUCUGUGGCAAGCUUAAGCGCUUUUGGUGCGUAGGCGUAGCGAAAGCGAGUCCGAAUAGGGCGACCAUAGUCGCAGGCGCUAGACCCGAAACGGAGGUGACCUACCCAUGGCCAGGUUGAAGCAACGGUAAAACGUUGUGGAGGACCGAACCGGUACAGGUUGAAAACUGUUCGGAUGAGCUGUGGGUCGGAGUGAAAGGCUAAUCAAACCCCGUGAUAGCUGGUUCUCCUCGAAAUGCAUUUAGGUGCAGCGUCGCGUGCUUACCCUCGGGGGUAGAGCACUGAAUGAGCUAGGGCCCAUACCAGGGUACCAAACUCAACUAAACUCCGAAUACCGGGGGGUGGAACGCGGCAGUGAGACUGCGGGGGAUAAGCUUCGUAGUCGAAAGGGAAACAGCCCAGAUCAGCAGCUAAGGUGCCUAAAUAGUGCUCAGUGGAAAGGAGGUGGGAUUUCAUAGACAGUGAGGAUGUUGGCUUAGAAGCAGCCACCAUUUAAACAAAGCGUAACAGCUGACUCAUCGAGAGAUCCUGCGCCGAAAAUGAUUGGCGAUAAGCACUAUACCGAAGCUCUGGAUGCACAGCUUGCUGUGCGUGGUAGAGGAGCGUUCUCAACACCUUGAAGCCUUAAGGCGACUGAUGGUGGAGCGUUGAGAAGUGAGUAUGUAGACAUGAGUAACGAUAAGCCAGGUGAGAUCCCUGGCCGCCGUAAACCCAAGGUUUCCUGGGCCAUGCUGGUCAUCCCAGGGUUAGUCGGGACCUAAGCCGAGGCCGAUGGGCGUAGGCGAUGGACUAAAGAGGUUAAUAUUCCUCGACUUCCGAAACUUAAACUAGAAGGACGCAUAUUGAAUGACGAUUAUCUUAUUGAAUUGGGAGGCGAUGGUUUAUCCUGACCCGUAUCGUUUGAAAAUGUGCCAAGAAAAGUUCUAGUGUAUGCUAAGGAACCCGUACCGUAAACCGACACAGGUGGGUGGGUAGAAUAUACUAAGGCGCAAGAGUGAAACCCUGUUAAGGAACUCGGCAAUCUAGCCCCGUAACUUCGGGAGAAGGGGUCCCGGGACUUGUCCCGGGCGCAGUGAAAGGGCCCAUCCGACUGUUUAGCAAAAACACAGCAUUCUGCGAACACGCAAGUGGAAGUAUAGGAUGUGACACGUGACCAAUGCCAAAAGAUUAAGGGGAGGUGUUAGCCUUCGGGCGAAGCUCUGAUCCUAAGUCCUGGUGAAUGUCGGCCGUAACUAUAACGGUCCUAAGGUAGCGAAAUUCCUUGUCGGGUAAGUUCCGACCUGCACGAAUCGUGCAACGAGAUGGGCGCUGUCUCAACAGGGAGCUCAGUGAAAUUGUAUCCGCGGUGAAGAUGCCGCGUACCCGCAGAAGGACGGAAAGACCCUAUAGACCUUAACUGUAAGCUGUCACUGGUUUCUCGAUUUUAAUGCUCAGCAUAAGUGGGAGGCUUUGAACCAUUCCUCUAGGGGAGUGGGGAGCCAUCAGUGAGAUACCACCCUUUAGCAUUGGGGAAUCUAACCUCUAGCCUUUAUCAGGCAGAGGGACCAUGGCAGCCGGUCAGUUUGACUGGGGCGGUCUCCUCCUAAAGAGUAA
rnacentral:rRNA from 1 species